CUGCUGCUUCUGACAAACUAUUUGUAGGAAAAUGAGAUUUGGUCCGCGCUGGAUGGCUCCUCUGGGAGGCAGGCGUGGGGGUCGGGUGUCGCAGGCCCCGUGCGCCCCCCACCCCCCACCAGAGCCCACGGCGCUUACGGAGCUCUUUAAGAUAAAUGAGCAAAAUUAAGAGACUCACUGGGGGAAGAAAACACUGGAUGGGAGCGAGCGAGAGCGGAUGGUACUUGGUUUCCUCCCAGAAAUGCAUCCACGUGCGCCCCACUGGGGCCUCCCCCAUCUGCUGCAGACUCCAGGGAACUUCCUCCCCUCAAAGACGAACUUCCAGCCCUGGAGCAUGUUUCUUCCUUCCCUGGGAUGUGGCGCUGAAAAGGGCAGAAACCUCUAGUAAGGCACAAGCAACAGAUUGAGGGUGGAGCAGCAGGUCUCUUUGGAAGUGGCCUGGAAGAAACCGGACAGAGAGGAUAGGAAGGGGAGAAACAGAAGAGUAUGACGAGAUGCCAUUGCGGUAAAAGUUACCCAAAGACGAGAAGAUUCCGUUGAUCCUGAAGUUGAAGUAUGGUGGGAAUUUUCUAGAAAAAUCCAUUCAAGUCUUUUUCUGUCCCAGAUCAUGAAGAAAAGAGGGAGCAUUUAUUGAAUGUAAGGUGGAGCCAAAGGCAUCUAUUGAUGACUGAAGAAGAGGCAUGAACAUGACAAAAACAGGAACCUAGGCCAAAAAAGAUGAUUCACAGAUGAUUCAACUUGGAGGCCCCUACCUUAUUUUAUUAGUAAAAAAAGAUGUGGUGGAGAGUGUAUGGGGUGAGAAAAGAAAUUAAAACACCAUGAUCCUUUUAA